GUACCCUUUUUUAUUAUAUGUGACUCGUUGUAUAUAGGCUUAUCUAUGCAUUAGUAUUUGAUGCUCUAUCAUGUUAGUUUCCUUGUUCUAUUUUUUGAGCCUUAACAUCAAUUUUUUCUUGCAGGCGGCGAUGGCGGGAGUUCCGUAUUAGGCAGAGGAAAAGGACGGGAAGAAAGAAGGCUUGGGCAUGAGUGGUUAUUGGGUGGCGGUGACCUUCAAGUACCUGCCUCAUGGCACCUCACUCUACAGUCGUGGCAAGUGUGUUUGACUUCCACAACUCCAGCCUCCUUUAUGUUCAUGUAUAUACGCCAUCGACCACAAACCCUAUAUUUAUCUGAUAAAUGAUGCUACCAUCUUUGAGAAUAAUAACCGAAUAUACCAUAAAUGUAGGAAAUAUUAUAAGUCACCAUCAUGACAGUAUGAAAUAUAUGAUGUUCACCAACUUCAUCUAUUUAUAAGUCACCAUCAGGACAGUAUGAAAUAUAAGUGUCUUUCCUUACUGCAUCAUAAUUGUGUUUUACGUGAACUCGUCAUUUAAGCACUAAUGAUAGGUAUUGCCUCCAGCAGUAUUCUAUAUUUGUGGGCCAAGAGAAAAACAUACAUGUACUUUUUUGGCUCCAGUACGUUACAUGCUAAUAAAGAAAUAGCCUUCUCAAAGAAAAUUCAAAUGAACUAGCCUUGAACUCUAUUUUUCGGAUGCCAGCACUUGCUAAUCUGCAUGAAAGAGCUAACUCGAUACGUAUGCUAAUUAUACUUGAUAGUCUCAUGAAACAACAGUAAAAAAACAGCGACCAACUUUUUGUUAUGUAACACUUCUUAAUUUGUUCAUACCUGCCAAAUAAAUAUUGUAUGGAGGAGCGAAAAGGAUUCAAACAUGCACACUAAUUACUAUUGAUGACAUCAUACCGGCAGAAACUGUAGGAGGACCAACUUUUUUUGCUCAUUAGCCACGAGCAUAGGGUCUAAUUGACACAUAAUUUAGUGACUAGGAGGAUGAAGUGGAAGCAGAAUAUCAGAAGAAGAAAACUAUAAUUGUGCAAUUGAAAAUAAUAAUAGAUGGAGAAAUUUGAAAUAUUGGUAAAUAUUAUAAAAGCAUAUAAAUAGGCUUUUUUGCGGCAACACAUAGGUGUUUAAUACUAUACAAUAAUUAAAGCUACACGGAGUUAAAAGUUGUUGAACAAAAAAAAUGCAAGAACAGAUCCAUCAUGUAUUUUCUCAUGACGUCUUUUUGACAUAUAUUCAUUGCUGGCAUGAAGUUUCUACCUAAGAAACUACAGGAAUGUCCCGCUUUCUCAUUUGCUAGAAUAAUUGGAGAAUGUAAUAAUAUUUCUGUAUAUGAUGCCAAAUUUCUACCUGCUGAAAGCAACAUGGGGCAAUAUGGUGAGUGGAAUUAUGUGAUGCAUGUAGAAAAUAGAAUACGAGCAGACAACAGGUUAUUUGCAUGUAAAAUUAAUCCUACCAAAUUAUUAUUUCUAGGAUUUCAGCACCCUGCCGUACAGAAGCAACCUUCUCUGUAUUUUUUGCUUCCCUUGCUCUAAACAUUGUUACUCCCCUGAAGGCCGAAGCGCAGCGCAGUAAGACCAUGUUUUCCUUUGUUUUAAUCUUUUGUUGUUACUAUUAUUACUAGGUCAUAUGAUCUUUGACAUCGUUUCCCUGUGGACUCACGUAUUCACCAUAUGACAUCAUGUAAUGUUUUCUUUUGCUUAUUUAUAACAUGUGAUUGUCUUUAUUAUUUUCAUGUGUUCUGCAAUCUUAUAGUUUUCCUUUUCUUAUUUAUAAUGUAUGCUUGUUGUAUGUGCUUUUGCUCGCAAUUUAUUAGAGCAUAUGCUUGUUUCUAUAGCGUUUUGUCCAUGUCUAAUUAAAUCUUGAUCCUGUAGUACUUGCUGUUUGAGAAAUAGACAUUGAGGAUCACUUUUUACAUAUAUUUUAUAAACCCUGUUGGGAUGCUUUGCAGGAGAUACUGAACAUAAUUCCCGACCCGUGACAACCUUUUUUAGCCUCAUCUCCAUCUCAGAGAUCUACCUUCUAUCAACAGGUAUCUAUCAAUCCCUUCUACUUGCAAAACAGAAAUAAUAUAUGUAGUUCAAAUGGUGAAAUCCAUAUAAGUUUUAAGAUUAUGUCCUGUUAAUUGUUCCAUUUGCUAGAGAGAGUGAUAACUUUAAACUGCUAUGGAGCUGAUGUAAAUUUAGUUGGCCACAAUGGCUCAUAAGUUUAUUCCUUACUACAUAUAUAGGCCAGUUAAUCUUAAUUUAGUGCAAGCUACUAUUUUCUCUAGAUUGGAGUGCUGAUGAGUCACCCAAAAGGUGUUUGCAUUCAUGCAGUAACUUUCCAAUUGAUACCUACAUUAUAUUGUAUCUUUUGAUUUUGAAUGUGUGUACAUGAAUUUUAGAUGGAAAUUUAUCGGACUGGGCUGGGAAAGAUAAUGGAGACUGCUACACAUGUUCCUUCGUUCCUUCGGAGCAAUAAAGAAGAUAUGGAAGUUGGGUCUUCAAUUGUAUCACCCAUACUUAGUAUACACACAUGAAUAUAGUUACAAGUCAAAUUACAUAUUGUGCUCAUUUCACAAUGUAAUGUAGGACCAGUUAACUAUUAGUCAUUGUAACAUGUUUGACUGAGAUGAAGCUUCAUUGCGCCUUUCAUUCUCUUUAUGUGCUCAUUUUAGUAAUAGUUACUAGAUUCUAGGGCUGGAGUUGUAACUGGAUGAAGCUUCAUUGUAACUGGAUCUGUAGUGGAGUUGAAGGCCGAACUAUUUUAUGUGGUGCAUGUUUGUAAAGUUUCUGCAAUGGUGCUUAUUGCUUAAAUGACCGGGACUAUUUAACAGAAUGUUUUUUCGUCGGAAUUAUCUACUAUGCCUAGUGUAUGAAAACUGUGCAAAAAUAAGGUCUGCUAGAUAAAAAUAGUAAUGGGCUGAAAUAUCAAAUAUUGAUCUGAAUUGUUGGGCCUGGC
rnacentral:lncRNA from 1 species